UAGAAACUGGAGCGUCCUUGUUUACCGGACAAGAGUCCAGAGACUGCACAGCUGGAUGUGAAUUCUCCAAGAAGCUCUGAUUCUGAAGUCAAGGAAUCAAAACACCCCAUAUACUUAAAUACAGGAAGCACUACAACGACCAAACCACAUGAAAGGAUACACUCAUGACUGUUGCAAAGCGAUCUUCUGUUGUGGCUGGGAUCUUCAAACAAGCAGUUCUGAUCUCCUGGAUGGUUGAGUGAAGAUCACUAAGGUCUGAUGUAAUGGUUCUCUGAUUCACUGGAUUUGCAAAAAAAAAUAGGUCAGAAGCUGAUAGAUGAACUGCCAGAUCAGCUGCUUGGCAGGAGUGUCCAGCACAGGAAACACAUCCACAAUGAGCGUAUCCACAUUCCUGGAUGCCAGACAGAAAACAUUUCAGAGACAAUGGAGUCAAGCAGUCCCCGUACUCUGUCCCAGUAAAGC